UACGUAGGGUGCGAGCGUUGUCCGGAAUUACUGGGCGUAAAGAGCUCGUAGGUGGUUUGUCGCGUUGUUCGUGAAAUCUCACGGCUUAACUGUGAGCGUGCGGGCGAUACGGGCAGACUGGAGUACUGCAGGGGAGACUGGAAUUCCUGGUGUAGCGGUGGAAUGCGCAGAUAUCAGGAGGAACACCGGUGGCGAAGGCGGGUCUCUGGGCCGAUACUGACGCUGAGGAGCGAAAGCGUGGGGAGCAAACAGG
rnacentral:rRNA from 1 species